rnacentral:rRNA from 1 species
GAUGAACGCUGGCGGCGUGCUUAACACAUGCAAGUCGAACGGAAAGGCUCCUGCUUGCAGGGGUACUCGAGUGGCGAACGGGUGAGUAACACGUGGGUGAUCUGCCCUGCACUUCGGGAUAAGCCUGGGAAACUGGGUCUAAUACCGGAUAGGACGAUGGUUUGGAUGCCAUUGUGGAAAGUUUUUCGGUGUGGGAUGAGCUCGCGGCCUAUCAGCUUGUUGGUGGGGUAAUGGCCUACCAAGGCGUCGACGGGUAGCCGGCCUGAGAGGGUGUACGGCCACAUUGGGACUGAGAUACGGCCCAGACUCCUACGGGAGGCAGCAGUGGGGAAUAUUGCACAAUGGGCGCAAGCCUGAGGCAGCGACGCCGCGUGGGGGAUGACGGCCUUCGGGUUGUAAACUCCUUUCGCUAGGGACGAAGCGCAAGUGACGGUACCUGGAGAAGAAGCACCGGCUAACUACGUG